AAAAAAGGUAAGCUACUAAGAGCGAAUGGUGGAUGCCUUGACUGGUAAAGGCGAUGAAGGACGUACUAGACUGCGAUAAGCUACGGGGAGCUGUCAAGAAGCUUUGAUCCGUAGAUUUCCGAAUGGGGCAACCCAAUGUAUAGAGAUAUACAUUACCUAUAUAGGAGCGAACGAGGGGAAUUGAAACAUCUUAGUACCCUCAGGAAAAGAAAUCAAUAGAGAUUGCGUCAGUAGCGGCGAGCGAAAGCGCAAGAGGGCAAACCCAGUGCUUGCACUGGGGGUUGUAGGACUGCAAUGUGCAAGAGGUAAGUUUAGCAGAACAUUCUGGAAAGUAUAACCAUAGAGGGUGAUAGUCCCGUAUGCGAAAAACAAACCUUAGCUAGCAGUAUCCUGAGUAGGGCGGGACACGAGGAAUCCUGUCUGAAUCCGGGUCGACCACGAUCCAACCCUAAAUACUAAUACCAGAUCGAUAGUGCACAAGUACCGUGAGGGAAAGGUGAAAAGAACUGAGGUGAUCAGAGUGAAAUAGAACCUGAAACCAUUUGCUUACAAUCAUUCAGAGCCCUAUGUAGCAAUACAGGGUGAUGGACUGCCUUUUGCAUAAUGAGCCUGCGAGUUGUGGUGUCUGGCAAGGUUAAGCAAACGCGAAGCCGUAGCGAAAGCGAGUCUGAAUAGGGCGCUUAGUCAGAUGCUGCAGACCCGAAACGAAGUGAUCUAUCCAUGAGCAAGUUGAAGCUAGUGUAAGAACUAGUGGAGGACUGAACCCAUAGGCGUUGAAAAGCCCCGGGAUGACUUGUGGAUAGGGGUGAAAGGCCAAUCAAACUUCGUGAUAGCUGGUUCUCUCCGAAAUAUAUUUAGGUAUAGCGUUGUGUCGUAAUAUAAGGGGGUAGAGCACUGAAUGGGCUAGGGCAUACACCAAUGUACCAAACCCUAUCAAACUCCGAAUACCUUAUAUGUAAUCACAGCAGUCAGGCGGCGAGUGAUAAAAUCCGUCGUCAAGAGGGAAACAACCCAGACUACCAGCUAAGGUCCCUAAAUCUUACUUAAGUGGAAAACGAUGUGAAGUUACUUAAACAACCAGGAGGUUGGCUUAGAAGCAGCCAUCCUUUAAAGAAAGCGUAAUAGCUCACUGGUCUAGUGAUUUUGCGCGGAAAAUAUAACGGGGCUAAAGUAAGUACCGAAGCUGUAGACUUGCACACAACUUAGAUUAUUUAAGUUUAGAAUAUGAGAAACUAAGUUAUAUGUUUAGUUAUAUUUUUACUGAUUUUUAUAGAGUAAAGAUAGAAAUAAAACUUAGUAAAAUCAGUAAAAAUAUUCUUAGACUAAAGUUAAGUAGUUUAAGUUGUGUGCAAGUGGUAGGAGAGCGUUCUAUUUGCGUCGAAGGUAUACCGGUAAGGAGUGCUGGAGCGAAUAGAAGUGAGCAUGCAGGCAUGAGUAGCGAUAAUUAAUGUGAGAAUCAUUAACGCCGUA
rnacentral:rRNA from 1 species